rnacentral:rRNA from 1 species
UACGUAGGGGGCAAGCGUUGUCCGGAUUUAUUGGGCGUAAAGAGCGUGUAGGCGGCCAAGCAGGUCAGCUGUGAAAACUCGAGGCUCAACCUCGAGACGUCGGUUGAAACCGCUUGGCUAGAGUCCGGAAGAGGAGAGUGGAAUUCCCGGUGUAGCGGUGGAAUGCGCAGAUAUCAGGAGGAACACCAAUGGCGAAGGCAGAUCUCUGGGCCGUAACUGACGCUGAGGAGCGAAAGCGUGGGGAGCGAACAGG